UUGGAGGGCAAGUCUGGUGCCAGCAGCCGCGGUAAUUCCAGCUCCAAUAGCGUAUAUUAAAGUUGUUGCAGUUAAAAAGCUCGUAGUUGAAUUUCGGGAUUCAUCCGUUGGUCGGGCUUCACGGUCCGUACUGGUGUGAUGGGUUCCUACCUUCUGAAUAACCGGCAUGCCAUUAAUUUGGUGCGCCGGGGAAGCAGAACUAUUACCUUGAAAAAAUUAGAGUGCUUAAAGCAGGCAAGUGCCUGAAUAGGUUAGCAUGGAAUAAUAAAAUAGGACGGCAUGGUUCUAUUUUGUUGGUUUCUAGGAUCACCGUAAUGAUUAAUAGGGAUAGUUGGGGGCAUUAGUAUUCAAUUGUCAGAGGUGAAAUUCUUGGAUUUAUUGAAGACUAACUUCUGCGAAAGCAUUUGCCAAGGAUGCUUUCAUUAAUCAAGAACGAAAGUUAGGGGAUCGAAGACGAUCAGAUACCGUCGUAGUCUUAACCAUAAACUAUGCCAACUAGGGAUCGGACGAUGUUAAUUUUUUAAUGACUCGUUCGGCGCCUUACGGAAACCAAAGUGUUUGGGUUC
rnacentral:rRNA from 1 species